rnacentral:rRNA from 1 species
AGAGUUUGAUCCUGGCUCAGGACGAACGCUGGCGGCGUGCCUAACACAUGCAAGUCGCGCGAGAAAGUUCCCGCAAGGGAGCGAGUAAAGCGGCAGACGGGUGAGUAACACGUGGAUAACAUACCUUCCUGCGGGGGACAACGGUCCGAAAGGAUCGCUAAUACCGCAUGACAUCAUAACAGGGCAUCCUGAAGUGAUCA